rfam:Schistosoma haematobium scaffold309_9, whole genome shotgun sequence.
AUCUAGUUGAUGUGUCCUAAAUAUGACGAAACUAGAUUCCUGGAU